rnacentral:rRNA from 1 species
AUACGGAGGAUGCAAGCGUUAUCCGGAUUUAUUGGGUUUAAAGGGUGCGUAGGCGGAUGAUUAAGCGUGAGGUGAAAUGCCACUGCUCAACAGUGGAACUGCCUCGCGAACUGGUUGUCUUGAAUGCUCCUGCCGUGGGAGGAAUGUGUGGUGUAGCGGUGAAAUGCAUAGAGAUCACACAGAACACCGAUUGCGAAGGCAUCUCACGAAGGGGUGAUUGACGCUGAGGCACGAAAGCGUGGGGAUCAAACAGGAUUAGAUACCCUGGUAGUUCACGCAGUAAACGAUGAUAACUAACCGCUGGGUCGUAGUGAUUCAGUGGCCAGGCGAAAGCGAUAAGUUAUCCACCUGGGGAGUACGACCGCAAGGUUGAAACUCAAAUGAAUCGGCGGGG